AUUUUCACUACAGUAUAUAUAUUAUUUUCUAUUAUCUAAAAGAAGAAAGAGAAGUAGAAUCACUGAGAUGAGAUGAGAUAUUAUUAUAAUACCUUGAGCUUUUAAUUCAAUGAUUGCAUAAUUUGAAUAAUUAAGUAUUCUUGCUUUCUUUAUUAUUUUCAUUCUUGGAAGCGAGUUUAUAAUUCCUAGUUAAAGGGAUUAUUUUAUUAUUUUUCAGAGAUGAGAUUGGUGAUAAAUACGAAAUAUUAUUAGUCGACUUAUUGCUCGGCUAAUUGAAGUGACGGAUGUUAUUUAAUUAUUUAUCUAUGAGCUUUUUUUUUUUUUAAUAGUGAUAGUUUGAGGAAAUUUAGUAUAUGUAUAUAGAAUUGUAUUAUAUUUCAUUGGGUGUAUAAUAAUUUAUUAAUUUAGAUAGCUAUCAAAUACUACUUGAGCUUGGAGCACAAGUUUCGUGAGUCAUAUUAGUGUAGAGAAUUGCUUUUCUAAUUUAUUCUUAUUUUUAUUUGAUCUAAUUUUGAGGGCCACAAAAUAAGGCUUAUAGGAAAAGCCAAGUUUUCCUCUUAUUAUUUAUUUCUUCUACAAACCUCAAAUGGGCCGAUCAGUAAGGGAAAUGAGGUUUGAAUUAUAUUGCUCAUUUCUAUAAUUGGAUUUAAAUUUUUAAUGUUUGAGAUAAGCAUUUAUUUAUUGUAAAGUGUAUAUAUUAGUUUGAGGAGAUUCAUUUCCUUUUCUUCUCCCCAAAACAGUCGACCUUCUCCCCUCUCUCUUUAUGGAACCUCAGUUUGAGUUUACUUUCAACCUUCAAGAAGAUUCAGCCGCCGCCUCUGCUCCGACCGUCGUCGGCUGCCGUCGGGUCCAAGUCCGGCGUCUCGUCUGUUCUUCCCUGGUGCCCCUCGCACUACUCUCAUCUUCUCUCAAUUUAGCGAAGAACCCAAAUGAGAAGCCCUAAUUUCAAAAUCCGAAAUCGCCGUCACCCGAGCCCGAAAUUCGGCAAUACAGCAGCCUCCUCUUCAACGUGGUCGAAGUUCUCGCACCGGAAGUCCUCGCCGUUCCCCCUUCUUUUUCGAUGUGGAGCCCUAAUUAUUAGAAGAAGGAAAUUACUACUGUCGCGACUGGAAGGCCAACGAACGGCUGAGCUUCGCCCAUCUCUGCCUUGAAUCCAUGCUCGAGAAUGAGAGAAAGGGAAACGAGCUCUAAUUCUUUUCUACUCCCGCCGUCAUGGUUCGGCUGCCACCUCCGCCGUCUGUGGAAGACCGGCGAUUCAGCGGCGCCGCUCCAUUCACGACGCCGCUACUGCUGCUACACGAUCCCCUCCGAGGCAGGAAGCGCUGCUGUCAUCAUCGUCGUCUUGGCUCGACUGAACAGGGUAGCGUCCCUCGUCGUCGAAAAGUUAAGUAUUCUACUUGUUAUUGUAGAAAGUGUUUGAUGUUGCUUGUGAUUUCUGAGUUCAUGCCAUAAUAAUCGAGGCAUAGGUGACUUCUCUCUAAGAUUCCUAAAGUGAGAUAUUAAACAAAAUGUUAUAUGUUUCUAAGUUAGUAAUUACUUUAAAUUAAGUAAAAUGAUGGCAGGAAUCAUAGCUUCAGCCCAAAGCUUCGAUUUUUGACCCUCCCUCAAGAACCCCAGAAUUUCAUCUUCUUUAUAUUUGUAUCAAUUGACUAUGUAUACAUGUCUAUAUGUAUGUGAAGAAUUGAUUGGGAUUUUAUUUGGGUAUUUAUUCACAAGAAAACAUGAUUCCCUAAUAGUUUAGUUUAAGUGGAUUUGGGAGUUCUUGGAAUAAGCUAGCUACAUGUUUGAUGCUUGUGUAAUUGUACUCCUUGAAUUGUAAAAUGAGAUUAUAUGACAAUAGUUGGAGGAUAUCAAGCAUGCUACUAUAUGUUGAUGUGUUGAACAUGAAUUACGUUUAAGCUAAAGCAUGCUAAUGUGUAGUAAGAUGAUGUAUUUGAGUUACUAUAGCUUUUAUUUGAUAAAAAUAUGAGUUAUAUGUUGAGUUGAGAUGAAGAAGGUAUUGCUGUUGGUUUUGCUGUACAGGACAGUACCUUGUAAGGUAUUUUCGGGAGUGUUCCUGUGUUCGAAAUGAUUUGAAAUUUUUACAGUAAUUACUUCAUUAUGAGUAUUAGAUCUCUGCAAAAUUUCAGCUAAAUCCGAGACCAAUAGACAUGUCAAACUAUUUUCUGAAAUGUACUGCACGGAGCAGCAGAGUUCAGUGCAGAUUCUGUCUUUGGUCAUAUAACUUCUUAUCCACUUGAGAUUUUGUGUUUUUGUAAAUUUCUGAGAAAUAUAGACAUCAAUAGCUUUCUAAAAAGGUAAAACUCGUAUUUUUCCUUGAAGCGAUUGAUUUUAUAUGAUUUUCCAAAGUUAGGAUUCAAAUGUGUAUGUGUCUUGAUUAAACUUGUGAUUGGUAGUUAAUUGAGAUCCUACACUACUAAACUUGAAUUAAGGUUUUAUUGUUCUAAUUACCUAUUGAGAAUUAUUGAUUACUAAGCUUGUUAAUAUGAUAGUUGAUGGACAUAAUUAUGUUUAUAUGAUUAAUUACUUUGGGAUUUUGUGUUUUACAUGUAUGGUUAGUUGUAAACUGAUCUCUAUGGAAUGGAUUUGUUUACUUCUAAACUUUCUCUAGUAGAGGAAUUCCUAUAAGAUAGGAAUACUAGUUUAUACUUUCUUAAAGUUCAUAAGAGUUAGUAUAUUGGUUAGUUUAGUUGAUUCAACCUUAGCUUUGCAAAAGAUUAAAAGUUUAUUGGGAUGUUAUUUAUAGCUAAUUCUUCUUAUCUAGUUAUCCAAUCUUAUUUUAGAAUCUUGCUAUUAUGAAGGUGACAGUAGCAAUGAUAGAUAAGUGAGCAAGAGUUCCUACACCGUUAAGCGUAUCAGGUUAAGCUGUGAUGCAGAUGGAGGCGAGCAGAGCAAAACUUUUGAAGUAUAAGUAUUAAAUUAGGCUCAGGAUUCCAUGUCUUCAUACAUGUAAUCCACUUAAGUAUUUCCGCUGCAACACUUAGUGUAUUUUACUUUAUUGAUGUGUUGUACAGAUUUUAAACCAAUAGCUUCGAAAAUUAUGUCACUUGAAAAUUUGACAACUUGUCGUUAUGUAUUGUGAGUUGUCUGCUUUGAGUUUUAGAAAAGAUUGUUUAUGAUUACCAAAUAUUUAGGUAAAUUAUUGUUUAAGCAAGAUGAUUAUUUUUAUUGAAACCUCUUUUAUUUUCCAUUUUCUUUUUCCAUUUCCCCAGUCACAUUUUCCCCGGCUUAACUGUUGUUAGCUUAGGUCGGGCUGUGACAGAGUGGUAUCAGAGCGAGGUUGUUUGCUCUGAGCCUAAAUAUUCCUUUGAGUCUAGUCUAAAUUUGAAUCUUUGGACUAGUGUGAGUAAUAUAGUAAAAGCUCUGCUCUCCAUCUCAUCCAACUUAGCCAGGUACGGAUUUUCAGAGUUUUGAAGUAGCAUGUUACAUUUUUAAACAAGUUUGAGAUAUGAGUUGCAGUUUUGCAAGUAUUAGUAUGAUGGAAACUUAUAUAUUUUAAAAUGAGCAUGGACAACAUGAGUUAUUUAUGAGUAUCCUCUGCCUAUACGAACUUUUGAGAUUUGAAUGGAUAAAAGUGUUAUUCAUAUUUUAAUAUUUGUGUUUUGAUAUGUGGAUGGAGAUAUAGAAAGUUUGAUGAUACAAUAAUGACGUAUAUCAGUCGCGAUGUAACCUAGUACUAGUAGUGAUGUUAUACAGUUACGGCACCACAAUUAAUACUAAGAGCUUUUUGCAACAUAUAUUCCUAUCUUUCGUAUGAGAACUCAUUGAGGCAAAUUUUCUCAUGAUAUGAAGUGAUCAAAGUGGUCAUUUACUAGGUUAUUAUUGAGAUUUACUUGCGUUUUAUGACUUGAAUUUUGGUGUAUGAGUUUUAUAACUUAGUUUGAUUCUAGUUAAGUAGGAGUUUGACUUUAUUGAUGGGGUGAAAACUCAAUUUUGGAGAUUUUGUGUAUUUACUCGGCAUGAUGUCUCAAAAGAAGAAGUGGAAACCUGCCAUCCACCAGAUGAACAAUUUAGAGAAUUUACUCCUCCCCCCUCAUCUGGAAAGAAGAAUUGCAGAAAGUUUUUCAUCGUCAAAAUUCCCCUAUUUAUAGUAGAGUUUCGCGAGUUUCGCUUCCUGUGAUGCAAUGAUCAAGAGCACCUUCUUGUAUGUUAUUUCAACAAGGAUCGACUGGUUAUUAGUGGGAGACGAAGCAGAAGAUAUAUACCCUCGAGCGAUUAGAGAGUCUUAUUUGGGGUCAGAUCAUAGAAGCUUUUACCAAGAAUAUAUUUCCAGAAGCCGUCGUCAGCAAAAGGAGACGUAAUUUAACAAUUUAAAGCAAUAGAAGAAGACAGUAGCUGAAUGUGAUCAAGGGUUUUGUGAUAUAGCUGGAUAUAUGCCUUAUAAGGCUGACACAUAUAUUAGUUGUAACUUUUGAUAGAGUUUUGAUGUAGUGCCUUUGCUUGUUGGCAAACCAAAUAUUCUUUCAGCUAUUGCAAGCCAAACAUUCCUUCAACUAAUGAAGAUAUCUCUUUUCCAUUUCAUCCCUCCCACCAAAAGUUUUGUUUGAAAUCUUGAUAUAAUUUAGUGCUUCUGUGGUGGGCAGUAUAUAGCGUAUCAUGAGCUUUACUCGUGAUUUUAUUUCUCAACUGUUCAGUAUUGGGUACACAACUUUUCUCAAACAUGAUAGCAGUACCCCUAGCUUUUUGGCAAGUAUUGACCCCUUCUAUCAAAAUCCUUACCCAUAAUUUUUCUCCUUUUUAUUUUCCCCAUGUACUUUAACAAUUCUUCUUCUCAAAUCAAAAAUCAUUGUUAACAUUGCAAUUACAGCUUCUCUUGUUUGCUGUGGUAGAACCAUUUGUAAAUCCAACUUUCAAAUCCUUGAUGAGAAUUUUUCUUCAUGGGUAAGGAGAAAUCCUUAGUAAACUUGAGUUUUUCUACUCAAGGCAUCCACUACUAUAUUGGCUUUGCGUGGGUGAUAAUUUAUUCUACAAUCAUAGUCCCUUACUAAUUCGAGCUAUAUUCCUUGUCUCACACUUAAAUCUUUUGCUCGAAUAAGUAUUUUAAACUUUUAUGAGGUGUAUCAAUUCCACAUCUCGUUUCAGAAUACCAUUGUUGCUAGUUCCAAGUUAUGUUGAGCAAUUCAGUUCUUGUGGUCUAUGUUCUCAUGACCCAAUAACAAUAACUCUUUCACUUUGCAACAAUGCACAACCAAGUCCAUCUUUGAUACACAGGACCAAUUUUAUAUGGUCUUUCAACUUUGAGAAUUCGGCCAUAUUUUAAAAUAGCCUUUCAUCCAACAACAGAUGAGCAAUUUGAGAGAAAUCUUUAAACCUUAGAAGAUGUGACAUAGACUAUUGUACUAGAGCGAAGAAGUGGCGACCUUAGCAGUAGGGACACUGGCGAUCGUAAGAAAUUCUCUCUUUCCAAAAAUGAUUUUUCAGAAGGAGCGAAUUCCCCGCAAACAAGGCAGGAGACGACUAUCUCAAGGUGCAUCACGCGUACUCAGAAGCCGCAUUAUGCACUAGAUUGAAGGAUGAAUUGGGAAAACCUUUUGCUAGUAAUUGAAUUGGCCUACAAUUGUAGCUUUCGGGCAAUAAUUGAUAUGACACCAUAUGGAGCUUAUUGUGAAAAGAAAUAUUGAUCUCCACUCUAUUGACAUGAGGUAAGUGAAAGAAAAGUAACAGGACCUGAUGCGCUUGAAGAAAUGAUUACGCUUAUCCGACAAAUUCAACAACUGCUCAAGGAACCUGAAGAGCGACAUACACUUCAAAUUUCGAGGACGAAAUUUCUUUAAGGGGGAGAGGAUGUAACACCCAGCAUUUUCACUACAGUAUAUAUAUUAUUUUCUAUUAUCUAAAAGAAGAAAGAGAAGUAGAAUCACUGAGAUGAGAUGAGAUAUUAUUAUAAUACCUUGAGCUUUUAAUUCAAUGAUUGCAUAAUUUGAAUAAUUAAGUAUUCUUGCUUUCUUUAUUAUUUUCAUUCUUGGAAGCGAGUUUAUAAUUCCUAGUUAAAGGGAUUAUUUUAUUAUUUUUCAGAGAUGAGAUUGGUGAUAAAUACGAAAUAUUAUUAGUCGACUUAUUGCUCGGCUAAUUGAAGUGACGGAUGUUAUUUAAUUAUUUAUCUAUGAGCUUUUUUUUUUUUUAAUAGUGAUAGUUUGAGGAAAUUUAGUAUAUGUAUAUAGAAUUGUAUUAUAUUUCAUUGGGUGUAUAAUAAUUUAUUAAUUUAGAUAGCUAUCAAAUACUACUUGAGCUUGGAGCACAAGUUUCGUGAGUCAUAUUAGUGUAGAGAAUUGCUUUUCUAAUUUAUUCUUAUUUUUAUUUGAUCUAAUUUUGAGGGCCACAAAAUAAGGCUUAUAGGAAAAGCCAAGUUUUCCUCUUAUUAUUUAUUUCUUCUACAAACCUCAAAUGGGCCGAUCAGUAAGGGAAAUGAGGUUUGAAUUAUAUUGCUCAUUUCUAUAAUUGGAUUUAAAUUUUUAAUGUUUGAGAUAAGCAUUUAUUUAUUGUAAAGUGUAUAUAUUAGUUUGAGGAGAUUCAUUUCCUUUUCUUCUCCCCAAAACAGUCGACCUUCUCCCCUCUCUCUUUAUGGAACCUCAGUUUGAGUUUACUUUCAACCUUCAAGAAGAUUCAGCCGCCGCCUCUGCUCCGACCGUCGUCGGCUGCCGUCGGGUCCAAGUCCGGCGUCUCGUCUGUUCUUCCCUGGUGCCCCUCGCACUACUCUCAUCUUCUCUCAAUUUAGCGAAGAACCCAAAUGAGAAGCCCUAAUUUCAAAAUCCGAAAUCGCCGUCACCCGAGCCCGAAAUUCGGCAAUACAGCAGCCUCCUCUUCAACGUGGUCGAAGUUCUCGCACCGGAAGUCCUCGCCGUUCCCCCUUCUUUUUCGAUGUGGAGCCCUAAUUAUUAGAAGAAGGAAAUUACUACUGUCGCGACUGGAAGGCCAACGAACGGCUGAGCUUCGCCCAUCUCUGCCUUGAAUCCAUGCUCGAGAAUGAGAGAAAGGGAAACGAGCUCUAAUUCUUUUCUACUCCCGCCGUCAUGGUUCGGCUGCCACCUCCGCCGUCUGUGGAAGACCGGCGAUUCAGCGGCGCCGCUCCAUUCACGACGCCGCUACUGCUGCUACACGAUCCCCUCCGAGGCAGGAAGCGCUGCUGUCAUCAUCGUCGUCUUGGCUCGACUGAACAGGGUAGCGUCCCUCGUCGUCGAAAAGUUAAGUAUUCUACUUGUUAUUGUAGAAAGUGUUUGAUGUUGCUUGUGAUUUCUGAGUUCAUGCCAUAAUAAUCGAGGCAUAGGUGACUUCUCUCUAAGAUUCCUAAAGUGAGAUAUUAAACAAAAUGUUAUAUGUUUCUAAGUUAGUAAUUACUUUAAAUUAAGUAAAAUGAUGGCAGGAAUCAUAGCUUCAGCCCAAAGCUUCGAUUUUUGACCCUCCCUCAAGAACCCCAGAAUUUCAUCUUCUUUAUAUUUGUAUCAAUUGACUAUGUAUACAUGUCUAUAUGUAUGUGAAGAAUUGAUUGGGAUUUUAUUUGGGUAUUUAUUCACAAGAAAACAUGAUUCCCUAAUAGUUUAGUUUAAGUGGAUUUGGGAGUUCUUGGAAUAAGCUAGCUACAUGUUUGAUGCUUGUGUAAUUGUACUCCUUGAAUUGUAAAAUGAGAUUAUAUGACAAUAGUUGGAGGAUAUCAAGCAUGCUACUAUAUGUUGAUGUGUUGAACAUGAAUUACGUUUAAGCUAAAGCAUGCUAAUGUGUAGUAAGAUGAUGUAUUUGAGUUACUAUAGCUUUUAUUUGAUAAAAAUAUGAGUUAUAUGUUGAGUUGAGAUGAAGAAGGUAUUGCUGUUGGUUUUGCUGUACAGGACAGUACCUUGUAAGGUAUUUUCGGGAGUGUUCCUGUGUUCGAAAUGAUUUGAAAUUUUUACAGUAAUUACUUCAUUAUGAGUAUUAGAUCUCUGCAAAAUUUCAGCUAAAUCCGAGACCAAUAGACAUGUCAAACUAUUUUCUGAAAUGUACUGCACGGAGCAGCAGAGUUCAGUGCAGAUUCUGUCUUUGGUCAUAUAACUUCUUAUCCACUUGAGAUUUUGUGUUUUUGUAAAUUUCUGAGAAAUAUAGACAUCAAUAGCUUUCUAAAAAGGUAAAACUCGUAUUUUUCCUUGAAGCGAUUGAUUUUAUAUGAUUUUCCAAAGUUAGGAUUCAAAUGUGUAUGUGUCUUGAUUAAACUUGUGAUUGGUAGUUAAUUGAGAUCCUACACUACUAAACUUGAAUUAAGGUUUUAUUGUUCUAAUUACCUAUUGAGAAUUAUUGAUUACUAAGCUUGUUAAUAUGAUAGUUGAUGGACAUAAUUAUGUUUAUAUGAUUAAUUACUUUGGGAUUUUGUGUUUUACAUGUAUGGUUAGUUGUAAACUGAUCUCUAUGGAAUGGAUUUGUUUACUUCUAAACUUUCUCUAGUAGAGGAAUUCCUAUAAGAUAGGAAUACUAGUUUAUACUUUCUUAAAGUUCAUAAGAGUUAGUAUAUUGGUUAGUUUAGUUGAUUCAACCUUAGCUUUGCAAAAGAUUAAAAGUUUAUUGGGAUGUUAUUUAUAGCUAAUUCUUCUUAUCUAGUUAUCCAAUCUUAUUUUAGAAUCUUGCUAUUAUGAAGGUGACAGUAGCAAUGAUAGAUAAGUGAGCAAGAGUUCCUACACCGUUAAGCGUAUCAGGUUAAGCUGUGAUGCAGAUGGAGGCGAGCAGAGCAAAACUUUUGAAGUAUAAGUAUUAAAUUAGGCUCAGGAUUCCAUGUCUUCAUACAUGUAAUCCACUUAAGUAUUUCCGCUGCAACACUUAGUGUAUUUUACUUUAUUGAUGUGUUGUACAGAUUUUAAACCAAUAGCUUCGAAAAUUAUGUCACUUGAAAAUUUGACAACUUGUCGUUAUGUAUUGUGAGUUGUCUGCUUUGAGUUUUAGAAAAGAUUGUUUAUGAUUACCAAAUAUUUAGGUAAAUUAUUGUUUA